rnacentral:lncRNA from 1 species
CUUCCGCAAGUGUAGGCAGAGCCCCCGGAGCCAUGGCCAGCCCUUCCCGCAGCUCCGAAGCCACUGGCAAGCCCCGAGGCAGGGAUGGCCGGCCCAGGAGGGAGGAGGACGACGUCCCUCCCGAAGAGAAGAGGCUGCGGCUCUUGCUGGAGGGGGGAAGCGCACAGCCCCAGGACGGCGAGGACGGGGAGGACGCGCCGCGGCCGGGCAGGGUGGAGACCGGCACCCAGACAGGUGGCGACGGCAGAGGAGCAGCACGGGCAGCCCUCCUCGCCGUGGGCUGCAUCAGAGCCCCCCCUGCCCAGUCUUGGGGUUGCUCCCGGAUGCUGUCUGGGAGGCUUGGUCAUGGUG